AUUGAACGCUGGCGGAAUGCUUUACACAUGCAAGUCGAGCGGCAGCGCGGGGCAACCUGGCGGCGAGCGGCGAACGGGUGAGUAAUGCAUCGGAACAUGUCCAUGUCGUGGGGGAUAGCCCGGCGAAAGCCGGAUUAAUACCGCAUACGCCCGAGAGGGGAAAGCAGGGGACCGCAAGGCCUGGCGCGAUUGGGUUGGCCGAUGUCCGAUUAGCUUGUUGGUGAGGUAAAGGCUUACCAAGGCGAUGAUCGGUAGCUGGUCUGAGAGGAUGAUCAGCCACACUGGGACUGAGACACGGCCCAGACUCCUACGGGAGGCAGCAGUGGGGAAUUUUGGACAAUGGGGGCAACCCUGAUCCAGCCAUUCCGCGUGAGUGAAGAAGGCCUUCGGGUUGUAAAGCUCUUUUGUCCGGAGCGAAACGGUACGGGUGAAUAUCCCGUGCUACUGACGGUACCGGAAGAAUAAGCACCGGCUAACUACGUGCCAGCAGCCGCAGUAA
rnacentral:rRNA from 1 species